GGAGCAAAGACAAAUUGGAGAAGAUGAGAUGUGGAAAUUUUGCCUUAUCAGUUAACUCUUUGGACAUGAGGACAACUUUUUUUCGAAAUUAACUUUGAGUCCAGGUUUCUUAUUAAACCUCUCCAGUGUGAGAAAUAUUUGUCAAGGUCUCCCCGGAGCCCUCUAUGACGGUCAUCUGCAUAUCAGAUUCUGGGUGAAGACAUCUAACAGCAAGUAGAGACAGAGAUGGGGAUAAACUAUCUCCUUAUUUACACCUUCUUGUGCUAUGGAAACUGUACACAUGUCCUCCUAUUUGUACUAUACUAGGAACACUCCUGAUUAUAGUGGCUAUAGUUCUUAUAAACUUUUUGGAAAAGAUACUUCGAGCAAUUGCCGUAGAAUGAACGGGUGGGAGACUGUUUCAAAAGCUUUCUCGAAAUCUAUCUGGCGAAACACAAAAUUUUUGCCUACCAGCUUAAUCUCAUUGAUCAUAUGUUGGACAGUACCUGGGAUGUCUUCAGCAAAUCUAUUUCUCAUAAAAUCUUUUUGUACGUGUGGAAUACUAUGUUGGAGGAUCUUCACUAGCCUCUUGUUUAAUAUUCCCGCCAAUAUUUUGAACAAAGACUAGAGUCCCUGUACUCAUGAACUUAGGUAUCGAUUCCGAAUGAAAGAUUUCCCUAUAAGCUCCCUCAAGGAUUGGGGCAAGCGCUGAUAUAAAUGUUUUACAUCGAUGUAUUGGUUAUCUAUUCGAGAGAAUUCAAACUUAUCCUCUUCUUGCCAAAAUCUGGUCUCCCCACGAAUAGAUCUCCACUACCUUGAAGAGUUCUCGAGACGCCCGCUGUGACAAAAUUUACUCAUAGCUUGA
rnacentral:lncRNA from 1 species